rnacentral:rRNA from 1 species
GAUGAACGCUGGCGGCGUGCUUAACACAUGCAAGUCGAACGGGGAUUAUUUUGACAGAGACUUCGGUUGAAGUUGUUAUAAUCCUAGUGGCGGACGGGUGAGUAACGCGUGGGUAACCUGCCUCACACUGGGGGAUAACAGUCAGAAAUGACUGCUAAUACCGCAUAAGCGCACGGGAUUGCAUGAUCCAGUGUGAAAAACUCCGGUGGUGUGAGAUGGACCCGCGUUGGAUUAGCCAGUUGGCAGGGUAACGGCCUACCAAAGCGACGAUCCAUAGCCGGCCUGAGAGGGUGGACGGCCACAUUGGGACUGAGACACGGCCCAGACUCCUACGGGAGGCAGCAGUGGGGAAUAUUGCACAAUGGGGGAAACCCUGAUGCAGCGACGCCGCGUGAAGGAAGAAGUAUCUCGGUAUGUAAACUUCUAUCAGCAGGGAAGAAAAUGACGG